rnacentral:lncRNA from 12 species
GGCGCGGGGCGCACGCGGGAAGCGGGCCGGCGAGGGACUGACGUGGGGACCGGGAGCCCCGUGUUAUUUUCAGAGUCCAGGUGGAAUCUAACUGAAACAAUGCCAAGAGAAAAGGAGGGAAAACAAAAAACUAAAGGAACACCCCUGCCCAUCAUUCCAAUUCUUCAAAAGUUCCUGAAAGCAUAUGAGAAGCACUGUGCACAGACUCAGACCUCUGUCUGUGCAGCCAUCAAACAGGACUUGAAAACCAGCAUCAACAAUGAACGGAUUCUCAGGAAAUUUAUGCUCGUAAGACCUAGAGACUCCCCACCAAGCACCCUACCAAUUUCCUUGGAACCUUUGCUCAUCACAAUUCAAGAUGAGUGUUAUAUGCUGGGGAAAGAGAUUUGUAUCUGGAGCCUUCAACUGAGCAACCCAGAGAUUGCCAGACUGGUUUGGAAACGAAGAAAUUGA